AUUGAACGCUGGCGGCAGGCCUAACACAUGCAAGUCGAACGAGUGGCGGACGGGUGCGUACUGUCUGGGAAACUGCGCGAUGGAGGGGGAUCACUCCUGGAAACGGUAGCUAAUAUCGCAUACCAUCGGAUGUGCACAGAUGGGAUUAGCUAGUAGGUGGGGUAACGGCUCACCCAGGCGACGAUCCCCAGCUGGUCUGAGAGGAUGACCAGCCACACUGGAACUGAGACACGGUCCAGACUCCUACGGGAGGCAGCAGUGGGGAAUAUUGCACAAUGGGCGCAAGCCUGAUGCAGCCAUGCCGCGUGUAUGAAGAAGGCCUUCGGGUUGUAAAGUACUUUCAGCGAGGAGGCGUUACUCGCAGAAGAAGCACCGGCUAACUCCGUGCCAGCAGCCGCGGUAAUUC
rnacentral:rRNA from 1 species